UUAUAUAUGGGAACAGAUCUUUGCACUUGGU
rnacentral:piRNA from 1 species